AAGAAUAGCUAUUCGACAAACACAAACGUUUUCAUAGAACAUUUUAAGAUGUCAAGUUGGUUUUAUUUAUAUAACUUCAAUAAAUAGUGAUAGUAAACGGAUUCAUAAAUUUGGAUCAAUUUAAGAAAACAGAGAUGGAAUGUAUCAUUCUAUAUGAGUAUUGCAUUGAGCAGCAUUGUCUAAAGUUAUCGGACGGAAAAAUAAAGAUCACUUCAAUAGAAUUAAAACAUGCUCUUGAACCUUUAAGCGUCCAACUCACUGAAAAAGAUAUUAUUGAAUUAAUUAUUCGUUUUGAAGGUUGAUGUAAUCAGGGUAAUUAAGUAUAAAUAUAAUAACAAUAGUAACGCAAUAACACUAGAAACGUUUAUUCCGACGAUAAAACAAUAUAAUUUAGUAUUAACAAUAGUUUAAAGAUAUAGAUGCUUAAAAAUAAGCGCCUUCUUUUUUAUUAAGUCACAGUGACCGUUGACAUGAAAGAAGAGAAUUAGAAUUAAUCAGUCUCUAUUCGUCCAGCCCCGAACGACCGGUUCACACCGCUCGUCGGCCACCGCGAAUAGCGCGACCUGUCGAACGUGAAGAGGAAGCGCUGCGAUCGCCAUCCGGCGGUUACACCGGAAAUGAAAUGCGACCGCGACAAGGUGAAGGCGCAGAGAUAUCAGUAUCAAAGGUACAAUCAGAGUAUUAGCUAAGAUAAUUAUAACAUUGAAUACUUGAUAAAAGAAGCCACCCAUUGAUGACACUUUUAAAUUAUUCAAAUAUAACAGCAAAAAAUUUACAUUAGUUUUAACCUUACCUUUUUUUCUUUCAACAAUACGUCAAAAGAUCACAAAUCGUAUCUAGUUGAAGACAUUACCCUUAAAAUUUGAAAAAAUUAUCCUCGUUCCCCUCAAAUGGGAGAAAUCUCCAAAAAAUACAACUUUUAAAAUCGGUAAAUUUUGUAAUUUUUUUUUUCCUAAAACUACCAUAAAUUUUUCAAAAAUUAACAAAUCAACAUAAUUUUUUAUUUAUUAAAACCUUAGAUAUUUUUCUUUCAUUGGAUAUUAUUUUUUUGAAAAUCUAACACUUAACCUGCUCACAGGCAGCGAUUUAAAAUAACUUUUUUACAAAAAGUAAUUUUUUCAAGAUUUGAAAAUGUUCCGAAAAUACUACGUUCUUUAAACAUAUAUAAAAUUGAAGCAUAUGUUACGUACUAUAAAAUGAAAAAAUAAUUUGUCCCGACACCUUAUCUUCUACGGGAUAAACGGCUGCCGUAGUUAAAAAAAAACAG